UGUACAGCAUCGCGCAGCAGAAGGCGAAGGAUGACGCCGCGAAGGCGGCGGCGGCGGCGUAGACGACGACGACGACGGCGAGGACGAAUGAUGAUGAUGGUGAGACGCGAGAGAAGAGAGGAGGAUCUCUGCGCGUAGACGAGCGCGAGAGGAGGAUUGUAAUACGUACCACCGCCACCGGAUGGAUGUGUUGAACCAACGGAAGACGACCCCUCUUCGUCCUCUUCUGUUCGCCAUGCCUCUACUUUUUUCCCGGUCGUCUGGUGUCGCCGCCGAAAAAACAAAAUCUACUGUAGGUUAUGGUCCGCCACGAGACGAGCCUUUUGACUCGUCGUUUAACCGUCGUUUCCCCGUCG
rnacentral:lncRNA from 1 species